AUGGAUUUUAGUGCUGAAAAAUCUAGUUUGGAAUGUGGGUUAAUCAUCGGAUGCUUCUCCUAAGUAUAUGAAUAGUCAACAUGUAUAUUUUCAGCCUUUGUAUAUCAUGUUUUUAGCUCGAAUUCAUCGAUUAGCAUGUUAAACGAAAUUUGAAUUUGGAGUAUGCUAUAGUGAGUUAGUUAAAUAAUAUAUGUUGGAUUUGGAUUUGACUUAGGAGAAAACUGCAGAUUCUACACUGUCAUAUAUUAAAACUAUCAGAUUUAGCUCUAAGAGCCAUAGUUUGUUUGUAUCGCCACAGUUUAUGGACGGUGGAUAUCCAGGAUAGUGUAGAAUGCAUUUAUGCUCGUGCUGAGAUGCCGAGCUUAUUUUUACAGCAAUGUUAGGCUGUUCCGAACUGUCGGGUGCCGUCGGGG
rnacentral:lncRNA from 1 species